UAUACAAAAGAGAAAAAACAAACCCUCUGUGU
rnacentral:piRNA from 1 species